rnacentral:tRNA from 1 species
GGUGAUAUAGCCAAGUGGUAAGGCAGAGGUUUAAAACUCCUUAAUCCUCAGUUCGAAUCUGAGUGUCACCUCCA